GUGCUCAUUUUCUUUUUGUGUUUAUUUUGCUUUGCCAGUGCGGGCUGUUGCAUGGCUCAUUCCACACGCUGCUACGUGAUAAUCACUGCACUUGAGCCACAGUUGUGAAGACUGGAAAAAGACAAAAACUCCAUACAAAUGUGGAACACUCCCUUUAAAUAGUUGCCGGUGGAUAAGUCAGUAAAGCGUAUGCGCAAAAACAGAACAAGAACUAAACAGAGCCGGAAUAUAAUGUGGCAUGCCCGGCGCGCGCCCAGCACCCUCGCCGCAGCGUGGAGUGACUCCCAGCGUCCCAAUAAACCGGCCGCCACCGACGUCACGACCGGUGACGACGCCGGACCGCCACGGAGCCGAAGCGGGCCCGCCGCCGUCUCUAUCCCACGCCUUUCCAAUAUCGGCAGCCGCGCCCGGCCGCACUUAUGGCGGAGUGAUAGUGUUCCGUCACUGUCCUACCGCGGGGCGUGGCAGCACCCUGGCCUCGCGCUCGACUCCGCUCCUUCCCGUGCGACCUUUGCCUGGCGCGCGCUCUGCGGUCCGUUGCUCAGAUUUCGCUCAUCUCGCAGCCCCUUGCUCAACUGUCGUACGACAUGUGGCGUCCAAACAUUCCCCUCGGCUGAGCGCUGUGACACUAAGCUGUUUGCCGCCGCAGAGAUUAGACAGGCGAUCUGAAAACAGAUUAGUCGACAAAUUCGGCAUGGGAUGUUUCGCUGAAUGUGGCCACCUAGUCCUGCGAUGCCAGUACGUAAUUAUUAAAUUCGAACAAGACCCAACGCCAUUCGACGGCACAGGUCAAUCUUAUUUCUGAAUGGUAUAGUUGACCUCUCUCACAUGAUUGAUAACGUAACAAAGAUAUCAAAAUAUAUUGCAAAUUACAACAAACAAAAAAAUCGAGAAGUAACACAGGCCACCGUGAGACCCGCAAUGUCGUUCUUAGGGUCUUCUAAUCGGCGCUAAACGAAAGAGGGCAUUCGUGCGGUUCAGAAUCCUAAGAGCAGUGCUUGCAUAGAUCAAGGGUCAAUAUCAAUCUAGGUCACGGUCAUGUUAAGUGAAGGUCAUGUCACCUUAUUGGACGGCCUUAUCAUUGCUGCUAUAUCGGGCAGCAUAACCUUACGCAUACGCAUACGAACAGCAUACGCGUCGGCAAUUGACACAGUCGGGAGACCGGAGACGUCUUUCUUUCGGUCUCUGAUCUACAUGUAUAUAAGUCUCAAGGGGCGCCCAGGCCGCCCGGCCAGAGAAUCUGUCACUUCCAGUCUAGAAGCAUUCGCAGAUCAACAGCUCACCUUUGGUCAGAAACAAGCCGGAACAAAACAGCAAUAAUCGCUUCCUCGAAUGGUAAUACACGUGGCUGCGAAAGGUCGUAGCUUACGUUUACGACCAAGGACACGUGUCGGAUGAGGACGAGCUAUCAAUUUUACGCUUCAGCAAUGCACAUAAGUGUAAGUGCCAGGGUCGCAGCGGACUGGUAAUGGCUGUAUUGAUCCCAGUCACACUGGACGAGGCUUGACAAUGCAUUUCUGCGAGUUGAGUGGUCUCGGGUUCAAACAGACGUCGUUGAAUACUUGAAAACAUGAAUGAAGACAGUGCAUGACAGCAGACAAAUGGCAUUGGACUGGUUUCAUAUGACAUGCAUCCCAAACCAUCCUUAUGUCUUGCAGCAUUACGACGGCGAUAAAGCACAGAUGAAAUUUUAUUAUCUAAGGUAAGAUAACUUAUAGGAUGAGUAUAAGGAUGUAGGAUGGUCGGAUAGCUCCCAAUGCGGUAUAAGAUAUCGCGGUUUAAGAUAUGGAAUGCUCGUGUCCAUGUUUAUCUUCAUUUUAUUCACAAGCAGUUCCAACGUGUGGUUAUUGUUUUGUUCGGAACAAUUACACAAGUAGUGUGGACACAAUAUUAAAGCGUUUACAUAAAACCAUUGCGUACCCACAAUGUUAAAUACGAGUUCAAUAUUUCAGCUGUAAAGCUACGCUAGGUGCAGCCUGAGGAGCGGAAGUGCACAAAUUACGGAACUGUGGUCUUUUGUAACAAUGCCUUGUCUUUUGAAUCAUUGAUGUAACAAUGGCUUACAUGAUCUUUUAAGAUAAAUAUAGUGUUUUGGUUUGUCGUAGUGAGUGUUAUAAACUUGAAACAAGAAAUAAAACAAACAUUUCGGCGGUGAACAAUAACUACGCGAUGCAAACAACUAGAGCUUUCCUUUGUCAUGAUAACCACUUGUAGCCUAUGAGCAGGGGAGCUCGUCUCAAAAAAGGUUCAUGCCGGCCGGCCAACGGCCC